AAGUCGUAACAAGGUUUCCGUAGGUGAACCUGCGGAAGGAUCAUUACCACGUUCCAAACGUAUCAACCCAUCGCGAACCGUUUUCAACCGCUCCCAACAGAGAGAAUGAGUAGGAAUCAGCUGUCACUCGUAUGCGUGCGGAGUCCGUCAGGACUAGCGGGUGCUGACACUUGUGUCGAAAGACACAGACGCUGUAUCUCUCUGGGUGGCUAUUUUCAGACGACUUUGAUCUCCGACAUCGAUCGCGAGUCGUUUGAAGAAACUAUUUCACACUAAUCACCUUUUUUGCUAGUUGACUUUUAUCUGUUGCACUUUGCUUCGGCAUGGCGCACACGUUUAAUUAUUUGAACGUUAAAAAUACAACUCUUAGCAAUGGAUAUCUUGGUUCUC
rnacentral:misc_RNA from 1 species